AGAAUGGACAAAGUUUUCUGGUCUUGGAUGAGCAAAGAUUUGCAAAGGAAAUUCUCCCCAAGUACUUCAAACACAAUAACAUGGCAAGCUUUGUGAGACAGCUAAAUAUGUAUGGCUUCCGUAAAGUAGUACAUAUCGAAUCUGGAAUUGUCAAACAGGAAAGAGAUGGCCCUGUUGAAUUUCAGCAUCCUCAUUUCAAACAAGGCCAGGAUGACUUGUUGGAGAACAUUAAAAGGAAGGUUUCGUCUUCAAAACCAGAGGAAAAUAAAAUUCGUCAGGAAGAUUUAACAAAAAUUAUUAGUAGUGCCCAGAAGGUUCAAAUAAAACAAGAAACUAUUGAGUCCAGGCUUUCAGAAUUAAAAAGGUAAAAAUAUUAUUUCCAAAUAUAAUGCUAAUAUUAUGGAGGUUGGGAUAUCUGUGUUGGGAUUUGGAGAUUGUCUGGUGUUUUAAGUAGUCUUCAGUAGCCAAGAUCAAUGUUUUGUUUGUUUGCUUGUUUGUUUGUUUUGCUUAUAACUGUUAGUUUGCUUUACUUUAGUCUGUAGCUAUGGACUU
rnacentral:lncRNA from 1 species